rnacentral:lncRNA from 1 species
AGAAUUCUCAGAGAAAAGUCAUUGGCAGUAAGGCAGCAACAGCAGCAGCAGCAAAAGGGCAUGAGACCUUCCUGGAAGAGGACUUAUUUUCUACCCUUUCAGAGAUGCUGCUGGAUUUAAAGAGGCGACGUCAGUGAGCAAGGAAAAGCAAAGUUCAGAUGAGUGACACCCAAACCUUCUCCAGUAUAUGAGGAUUACAUCGAAUGGCUCUCCAUCUCUUGGUGAAAAAGAGUUUUUUAUAAUAGGGCUGCCACAUUUUGGGGGGUUCCCAGAUGGGGUCUUGAUAUUGCAAGUAGGUCAUUCAGACAACAGCAGCUAGUCUGGUUGAGGAGAGCCACAGCAAUAGCCUACUGCCAGGAGCAUCACUACAGCUAACCAACAAGAUGAGGGCAAGGGGACAGUAUGUAAUGUACAGCCCCAACCUCACCCCUGCCUCACCCCUGCCUCAACCCUCGCCAGCUUCAUUGCCCCAGUAAGCAUCAGUGAAGCUGCUGCCAGGAGGCUAUUGUGGCAGCUCUACCCCACUGUGCAAGCUGAUCCUGCAUUUAAUCAUUACAAACAGAUUGUUGGCAACAGGUUGUUUUGUUUUAAACUUAUUUCAGUGUUCCUGGAAAGGGUACAUCCAGUUAAACUGGGGGGGGGGGGUGGAAUACGAGGUAGCAUUUUUAUGCCAAUGAUGUCAUGUGUCUGCCGCAAAAAAUAAUUGCAGGCAAGAGGAGCAGUCAUCCCACAAUAAACACCUGUCUAGAAGUACCUUUUAUUUCACCAGCAUCUAUUCUUAGAGGCCUCCUUCUAUGUCUGGGCGGUCCAACUUUUCAUACCAAUUGGGCUGCAAUAGUACUUCAACAUGGAACCUACAGAUGACACAUUGCCUUGUCGCACACGAGGGGGGAGCGAGGCCAAAAUUUGAUGCUGCCCCCAGCCUUCAUGCUGCCUUCCCAAAGCUGGCUAAGCGAGGUGCCAGGCUUUAGGAAGGAGGCGCAAGGCUCCUAGAUCCGUCCCACCUCCUUCCCAAAGAUGGGAAAGUGCUACCUAGGCUUUGAGAAGGAGGCACAAGGGCUCCAGGACCCUGUCAGAACCCUCACACCCCUUUCCCAAAGUUGAAUUCAAGGCCUCCUUACUCGGCUUUGGAAAGACAGUGCAAGGGCUUGGGAGAGGUAUCAAAUGUUGAUGAAGGCCUCCAAAAAAAGGCCUUAAGGGCUGUAUGUGUCCCUUGGACCACGUGUUGGGCCGCCUUGCUCUAUGGGUUUUAUAUGAAAGUUUACUAUAUCCAGCACAGUUUCUGUUACUGGUUAUUGACUUUCUAAAGAGUAACAGUGAGUCUGAGCUCUUGCCAGACAACAACUACCGGUAAUACAGGUCAGCCAUAGGAAAGCGCCUCUACUUAACCACAACAAGCAAACCAAAGAGCUGUUAGAUACUCAAAGGGAACCAAGAACUGUAUUCUUAAACUGCUAGCCAACAGCCAUCCAAAACUACUAGGUUACACAGAUGCUGCCUGGGAAUAGACCACUAAAGCAAAUAGAAGGAGUGUCAGAGUCAAGGAAAGUCUGGUUUUUGAGGGUUAGUAGGUUUCCUGUGCUAGAACCCCAAAUCAACUUUAAUUUUGCUACCUGAGCUUAACCACGUGUGUUGAAAUCCUACCUCAAAAUAACAACAGUCAGGAAGGACUCUUUCUUUCAAAAGUUUUUGCUUUACCCCACUAUUUUGAGAACUUUUAUACUUUAAUACUUUAAGUAGUUACUCUUCAUAGGCUGCAUGUUCCUCCUCCCUUGUGAUGAAUCAAUUCAAAGGAGAAUAUCAUAGCAACAUGCCUGUUACCCAUCCCUGUUCAGUGGAAAGAUCCCAGACAUUGUGGGCUGUUGGGAGUAUUGUGAUAAUGCAGUAGGUGUGGCACACUUUUUGCUCAUGCAGAAUUACGUUUAUGGCUCACCUCAGUCAGCUUUCUGCAUGACUCGAACCUUGCUUUCUGCUUUCCCAGAACUUGACAGCUGGAUCAUCCCCUAAUGCACAGAUAUGUGGAUUUUGCUUUUGCUGCUGCUGCCCGACGUUACUUCCCAAAUGUCUCUCACUCAUUGCCAUUAGUUAAUUAGAAGAUUUCAUGCAAUCUAAUAAGAGUGGCUGUUAGGCAAAGCACGUCUCAAAACUGCCUCGGAUAGAAAAUGUCAGGUGUUGCCUUGCCAGCUCUGUACUGUAUAAAACUCUUGCAUUCUGUUCAUUCUGCUUGUGGUAUGCUUUGAUAUACAAAGUAAAAAAAUCAAAUAUUCUGACAAAAGCAUCUUGCCCACCCAUCAGACACUUAUUCACAGCACAUUUGCAUUUAAAUGUUAAUUUUUUUAAUUCAAACAAUUUAUAAAAUCAAGCUGUGCUGUACAGUGUUUGACUGUGUCCUCUAAGAUCACCAUUCUCCUUGAAGGUCUGAAGACACAUCACAAUGAUGCCACUCUCUUUACUGGUCCUUAUUGUCAUUCAAGCUGCUGCAGAUGACCCUCUUGACUUUGGCUGAUCAGGAAACCAAGCCGUUCUCUGUCCAAACAGGACUUUGGCAUAAUAGUGAACCACACAUUUGUGAUUUCCAGGAAUGCAUAUGCUCAUCUGCAAAACCACUAAUUAUCUCAGAGUGCAAUGCUACUCCUGAGCAUGGCAUACUUUUAAGAGGCUAGUCCACCUUUUUUCCCUCUGUCUGCAAGGGUUCUCACUCCUAAUAGAUGCUUUAGUGGCCUGUCUCCCCUUUUUCUGGGACCACCUAUAAGAAUUAUGUUAAUUAGAAAGCAUAGAUUAGGCAGUUGUGAUUGCUGGAGAAUGAAGUGACCAUAAUGGUUGAACUAUAUUCUGGAAGUCAUUACAAUGAAUAUAUUACUUAUCCUCUCUGAGAAUGUAAUUAAAGGCCUUUCAGCUUGCUUUCUGAUAAAGCAGAGAGAGGCAUAAGGAGACAGAGUGGAUUUAAUUAAUACUGGGCUUUAUAGUAAAUCACUAUUUUCAACUUAAUUAAUGAGUAUUGUGAAUACAGUAUGGCUGACAAUCAAACAAGAGGUACUGUAUACAGUUAAUCAGCACCUUUCACACAUGCGCACACACUCACUUCACUUUUAUUUGCCCAUUUUGUGCACUUGUGGCACAACUCAGAUCAUAGCUGGCCUCUCUCUGUGGUCUAUUGGGGUGGCUUUUGAUGAAACCGCCGAGACUGAGGUCAGAGAGAGAAGCAACCAAGUGUGACUGCAAAAGGUUUGAUGUGUAGCCCUGCACAACCUCACCAUGCCAGAACCAAAACACUACAUGUGAAGCAUGUACCCUACCACUCAGGUGCUGCCUCCACCCCACCCCACAAGGUGUCGUUUUUGAGCAUUGUUGCACAAAGUGAAACUAAUGCAAAGAUACCCUUGUAAGAUCUGCAAGUCCUGUUCAUACUAGCUACAGUUAAAAGCUCCUCCUGCCCCCUCUCUCUUUGCCCCUAUUGGGUAACUGAUUUCUUAUUAAAUUAGUGUUAAGUGAGUGAACAGAGGUUACUGUGUUUGCAAGGUCCCUGCCUAGACACUGAAUUCACACUUUUAAAUGCUCUGAGUGACUAAAUAAGCUUGGAGAAACGGGACCUUUUGUACUUAUGCCAAUCUUCUUUUCCAUCCUACACACACAGACUGAAGCUAGCAGGAUCCUAAUUUUAAAACAAUUUUGUUCCAUAUUUAGGGGAUUCAGUUAUCUGUGUAAGCAUUAGUUACAAAAAAAAACCUUGAUAUCUAUGUAAUUAAAAUACUAUCUUAAUAUUUCAUUAACAUAGGCAAGAUUGUAUCCCUUCCUGCUUCCUCGCUCUGCAAUUUUCCAUAGACGGAAGUAGCUGGAAUAUUGCAUGGUACCAUGUCUAUUCAGAAGAAACACUGUGACCUACGCAUCUGCCCCUGACCUUUAGUUGGAUCAAUAAAACUACAAAUUGGUCUUUUCUUAUCCUUGGCACUUUA